UACGGAGGGAGCUAGCGUUGUUCGGAAUUACUGGGCGUAAAGCGCACGUAGGCGGCUUUGUAAGUUAGAGGUGAAAGCCCGGGGCUCAACCCCGGAAUUGCCUUUAAGACUGCAUCGCUUGAAUCCGGGAGAGGUGAGUUGGAAUUCCGAGUGUAGAGGUGAAAUUCGUAGAUAUUCGGAAAGAACACCAGUGGCGAAGGCGGCUCACUGGACCGGUAUUGACGCU
rnacentral:rRNA from 1 species